rnacentral:rRNA from 1 species
AUGAGGCCUAUUCUCAUGAAGGGGCACGAGCGCCCGCUCACGUUCCUGAAGUACAACCGGGACGGCGACCUGCUGUUCUCAUGCGCCAAGGACCACACCCCCACCGUCUGGUACGCCGACAACGGCGACCGCCUCGGCACCUACCGCGGCCACAACGGCGCGGUAUGGUCCUGCGAUGUCUCCCGCCACUCGACGCGUCUCAUCACGGGGAGCGCCGACCAGACUGCCAAGCUCUGGGACGUCAAGACGGGGAAGGAGCUCUUCACCUUCAGGUUCGACGCCCCCGCGCGCUCCGUGGACUUAGCCAUCGGCGACCACCUGGCGGUCAUCACCACCGACAGUUUCAUGGGGAAUAUGCCCACCGCGCAGGUCAAGCGCAUCGCCGAGGACCUGCAAGAACAGACGGAGGAGUCAGCGCUUGUGAUCUCCGGCAUCACGGGGAGGAUUAACAGGGCCGUGUGGGGGCCCGGCAACCGGACCAUCAUCACCGCCGGUGAGGAUGCCACCAUCCGCAUCUGGGACUCUGAGACCGGAAAGCUGCUGAAGGAGUCAGACAAGGAGGUUGGACAUCAGAAGGCAAUUAGCUCACUGUCAAAAUCCUUAGAUUGGUCUCAUUUCCUCACAGGUUCCUUGGAUAAAUCUGCCAAGCUAUGGGAUGCAAGAACACUGACCCUGAUAAAGACAUAUGUCACAGAGCGACCGGUUAAUGCUGUUGACAUAUCUCCUACUCUUGAUCAUGUGGUUAUUGGAGGUGGCCAAGAUGCUAUGAAUGUUACUAUGACAGAUCGCCGUGCGGGUAAAUUUGAGGCCAAAUUUUUCCACAAGAUUUUAGAAGAAGAGAUUGGUGGUGUUAAAGGACAUUUUGGACCUAUCAAUGCAUUAGCAUUUAAUCCUGAUGGGAGGAGCUUUUCGAGUGGUGGUGAGGAUGGGUAUGUGAGGCUACACCAUUUUGAUCCUGAGUAUUUCAACAUCAAGAUGUAA